rnacentral:rRNA from 1 species
UACGUAGGUGGCGAGCGUUGUCCGGAAUUAUUGGGCGUAAAGAGCUCGUAGGUGGUUUGUCGCGUUGUCCGUGAAAACUCACAACUCAAUUGUGGGCGUGCGGGCGAUACGGGCAGACUGGAGUACUGCAGGGGAGACUGGAAUUCCUGGUGUAGCGGUGGAAUGCGCAGAUAUCAGGAGGAACACCGGUGGCGAAGGCGGGUCUCUGGGCAGUAACUGACGCUGAGGAGCGAAAGCGUGGGGAGCGAACAGG